AGUACAUUUAUGCAUCACGCACACACAGAAGUUAAACAUGAGCAGACCAAUAAUUGCUUUAUACAUAAAAGCACACAACAUACAAUCAUGUGAGAUUUUCCGUGUAGCCAAUGAGCUGUUGCCAUAUGUGUAAAUUGGCAGAUUAUAUGAUCUGUCGCCAUGUGUGAAUGUAACUGUGUGAUCUGUGUCAGAUUGUCAACCAAAAAUAUCCACAGGGUGUGUGACGUGAUUUCUCCGGCCUAAAAUACACCGCAUGUGACCAGUUGCUGGUAUCGACCCUUACUCUAUUUCCACAUGAGGGAAUAUAACACGAAAAAGGUCACAUUAUUAUAAUUGAGUACAUUUUUGUAUUAUUUCACCUUUUUAAAGUCAAUUUUAAAACCUGAAAGAUUUAAUUUACCAUGUUUUGUUUAAAGUAUUAUACUUUGCUGCACAAAACAAAACAAACCAAACAACAAAAAUACUAUAUUGUCAUUAACCCUUAACCCAUCAAAAAAGUUACGCUAACACACCUGGAGGACCAAAAAUUAAGCUAUACAUUAUUAUUAAAUAAAAAAAAUUUAAACCAACAUCAGUCCUCAUCAUACAUAUCAAACAUUAAUGACUUUUUUGUUGAAGUUUUAACCCUUAAAUUGGCAUGUUUUUGUCAUGAUGCAUCAACAAUAGUGAUUUGAACGGGUUUCAAUGAGGACAUUUUUGUGCUUAGGUGUGUUAGUGUGAGUAUUUUAGUUAAUGUUGUGGACAAUGGACUAAAAUUAAAACAUGCAUGAAAACAUUUUUGAUACUCAAAAAUGCUAAACCUGGCAUACAUUUUAUGCAUGAAAAAAAUUACAACAUAUUCUAGAAAUUAAAAUCCAAAAACAUAAAAAUGUCCCAGGUGUGUUUAAGGGUUAUAAAAAACUAGACUUUUCUUGACGUUUGCUGCUGGGGAAAACGAGUGUGGUGACAGAACCACAUGUCCCAUGAUGCCUCGCGGUCAAGCGAUGACCAAAUGGAACACAGAGCAGCAGCAGCAACAGCAACAGCGAGGAGCCGCUUUGACAGCUGAGCUUCAAGUUUGCUGAGGGCAGGUCUCUCUCCGGCGCCGCCGACAUUAACGACCUUGAACAGAGACACGAGUGAAACAAACAUGACGCACUCAGCACAGGGCAGAAGCCGGCCGGUGAAGCAGCAUUAGCAGCAGAGGUUAUUUUAUUAUUUGAUGGGGGAUACACUGACUUCACUACCUCUCUUACACACAGACCAUCGUAUGCUAAGAAAACACUUGCAGCAGCAGCAGCAGCACAUCGUAAUCUCAGCCGGCCAGAGUCUGAUGCCCUGGAAACUUUCUCCCUGAGCCACCAGGGGGCCUCAGUCCCACAGUGGCACACCAAGCUUUGCGUUUGUCUUCACCCUGAACCCUUCAGCCCCAGUCAAGCUGUCCCACCCUGCCUCCGCUUCAUCCUCUCCUUCUCCUCGCUCCUGGCCAC